AAAUUGCAUUUCAGGAGCUGGCAAGCCUGACUUCACAGAUAAACUGGAGAGCACCCCAACUGAUGUAAAUGCAGGACACAGCUUUUCCUGCUUCAUUCGGCAGUAGAUGAUGAUUACUCAAUUUUGCUACAACAUUGAUUGCUACCAGAGGGAUCAGUGUGCUUUGCCAUCAUUUCCAAUAUUCAGUUGUUAUGUAGCGAUUGUUGUUGUCUAUUAUUUUAUGUUAGGGCAGCAAUUAGUACUCUCAGAGAUUGAUGCCUCUCAUCAGCACGCAAAAGACAGUUUCUCUUCCAUGUUUCUCACAGACUAAACAUAAGACAAGAGACAACAGAUAAAUCCAUCAAGCAGCCCAGAUACUGGAGAAAUGAUUAUUGAUGCAAUGAGUCACAGCAGUGCCUUAUUAUAAUUUCUGCAGGCUCUUUCUGGCUGCAGAAGACAGAAGCCCUUCGUUUGAUUUUCUUUCAUUUGGAGUAUAACAUGCUCCCUCUCCAUCAGAUCUACACUCUCAUUAUAUCUCAACAUCUGAUUCAAGAUUGGUGAAUGUAGUAAUGCAUCCCUCCCUGGAAAGGAGAUACAUUUUUAUAAAACAGCAAAAUCAGUAUUUUUCAGGACAACACUGACUACCCAAUUUCUAUUUAGUGGAAGUAUUUGGGUAGAUAUAAAGCCUACAUAACCCUGGACAGUGAUGUACUCUACUUGGUUGAAGGCAUACUCCUUUAGUAUUUUCAGAUGUCUCCAUUUUACUGUCAUCAUGAACUCUGCAGGCUUGGAUAACUCUGCUAGCACCCUCACAGUGCUGCAGAGGUCCUUAGGGAUAGGCUGCCGAAGAACCUUGAUGUAAUGCAUAAAGCAGUCCCACGCCAUGCCCUGGGCACUUUGAAGCCUGGAGCUAUUGCUGACCCUUUUUAGUGCUGAGAAUCUGCUUCUCCAGCCUACAGCCUCGAUGGUAGAAGACUGCAGGUCCCUGUUUGUGCACGGGUUGGGCAGAGGCAGGAGCUUCAUCCUCUGGGAUACACAGUUGACUUACUUCUCAUCACUGAACUCCAAAGAAUUCCAUCACUCUCAUCCUGCUGCAUCCUGACCACCUAAAAAAUGGCUUUCCAUGGGAAGGAGGUUCGUGUAAGGACUUCUGUAACACAGGAACCAGGUUGGUCCUCUCACUGGACCCUCACACCCGCAUUCUUGACUACCAUGGAGCUCUGAAGACUUCAAAGUGUGCCCAGCACUUUUCCUGAACUCCCUGCCAUGUCUAAUUUUUGACCCUUCCUCCGAGAAAUGAGUCCACUAGCGAAGAGAAGAUAAUUCUGCUCAUUUGGUCUCUUGAGAUUCCCACUAAGGGGAAGAAUAACAAUCCAGCAACAGCUUCACUGAUCUGCAUAGAAAAUUCAGGCUGCUUUUUUUUGCUGACCCUACUGGCUUGCCAUAUACAGCUGUAAAACUUUAUGCUAGUAAUCCAAAAAGGCAGCUGGAAUUUUUAGUCACAGGCUGUCAAAUGUCAUGUUCAUACCACAUUGGAUUAAAUGAUAAUAGGAGAAUAAUUCUUUUAGUAAAAUAUUUAAGACAUAUUGAAGUAUAAGCUUUGUGAAACAAAUUCAUAGGAAUUUUACAGCUUCAGAGCAAAAGUAGAUAACGAAUUUUAGAACAGAGGUUUUUUUUGUUUUGUUUUGUUUUGUUUUAAAAAAAGGUCAAUAUUGAUAGUUCAGCAGAUGUGUCCUAGUAGUGUUGCACAUGGCUCAGCUCCUAGUGAAAGACCACCAGGUCAUUCAUUUGGACAAUGAGCACACUAAACAUCUGCUAUGUCAUUAUGUCCCCUGCUGUUGUGCAUCACUCACCUUUCUCUCUUCUGUAUAGCUGUAGCCUGCGCAUGAAUAUGGAGUGAAAAGCAUAAUUUAGAUUACUGUGCCCAGCGUCUUUUACUGCAUUUGACCAUUCAAUAGUUGUUCAGCCACAAAGGAGCCACAAAAACUUGCCAACUCCCUGUAACAAUUUGCAGAUCGAUAGCACACUGUUACACAUCAAAGCGACAGCUGACUGGUCAAGUGCUUUACUACUGAUUUGUAUUUUCUAACACAAGAGCAUUUAUGCUCUUAGUUAUCAUAACAAGGUAGGUAGAUGACAUUCAACCAUCCUGACUGAUAUAAUUAUGAGGAAAAUCAAAACCUCUGCAAACCCAGAUGUGGCAGGUAUACACAGAUCUUCUAUAUAGACCUUGAAGGCACCUCAGUGAUUUGUGUUUCAACAGAAGCACCAAUGUAGCUUGUCCAGGCUCUAGCUGCGACUUACCUCUGAUGCUUCAGGUGGGAGCUAAACAAAUCAGAGUUCAAGUUUCUCUGAAGAAGGGAAAUAAAAAGUCUGUAUUUCUUGGCCUAAAAGUCCAAGAAAAGCUUGAGGCAUGAAAUUAUACAGUUGAGGAAUAAAUGAACACAACAGACAAGCCUAACCUCCUUCUGGAGACCAAUGACAAAAGUACUCAUCACAAGCUUAAACUCCUGAUACCAGGGCUUCAUCCUUAGCCAGGUCCCAGGUACAUAGAGCUGCAAAUCUCUAUUUUACAUCUGAUCAGCAUCUCUGUCUCCCCUGGUCAGCCGAGACUUCAGCUCACCCCUGUUCAUUGAUUUGAAAAUAUACUCCGUAGUCUAUGAGUUUGCUUUGCAUUUUGUUUAUUAUAAUCUUAAGCAGAAGGAAUUUUGCUAGUUGUAUAAAAGUCACAGAACAUCUAUCUGGUGUAUGGGUGCAAGAGAGAUAGGAGGUUCUUUCUUAAGGUUUUUGAAAAUGUUCCUUGUUCCUGAGAGGGAGCACAUACCUGGAUGGUUAAAUUACAUGGCAAAAGGCUGUCAUCUGUUUUAGUGAUCAUCUUCCAAAAAUGUAGGCAUGUUUGCAUUGGGAGAUCUCAGACACAGCUUAGCUGGUAGAAGAUAGCCCGUAUCCUCAAGCAUGCAUGUUAAACUCUGUGCAGCUGUUGAGAUUUCCCACACACAAUGAGCAAAGUUGGAUGCGGUGCUCCGAAACAUCUUUCCCUCCUUUGGAAUCAGAACACGUGAGGCACUUCUGACCUGAGGGACCCACAUCCCUAAUCAGGCUGAGAAACAGUUGCAUCCAUUGGCCAUAAGCAUCAUUUUGAU
ensembl:lncRNA